UGGGGAAUAUUGGACAAUGGGCGAAAGCCUGAUCCAGCCAUGCCGCGUGUGUGAAGAAGGUCUUCGGAUUGUAAAGCACUUUAAGUUGGGAGGAAGGGCAGUAAGCGAAUACCUUGCUGUUUUGACGUUACCGACAGAAUAAGCACCGGCUAACUCUGUGCCAGCAGCCGCGGUAAUACAGAGGGUGCAAGCGUUAAUCGGAUUACUGGGCGUAAAGCGCGCGUAGGUGGUUCGUUAAGUUGAAUGUGAAAGCCCCGGGCUCAACCUGGGAACUGCAUCCAAAACUGGCGAGCUAGAGUAGGGCAGAGGGUGGUGGAAUUUCCUGUGUAGCGGUGAAAUGCGUAGAUAUAGGAAGGAACACCAGUGGCGAAGGCGACCACCUGGGCUCAUACUGACACUGAGGUGCGAAAGCGUGGGGAGCAAACAGG
rnacentral:rRNA from 1 species